rnacentral:rRNA from 1 species
UACGUAGGGGGCAAGCGUUGUCCGGAAUCAUUGGGCGUAAAGAGCGUGUAGGCGGCUCGGUAAGUCCGCUCUGAAAGCCCGGGGCUCAACCCCGGGAGGCGGGCGGAUACUGUCGGGCUAGAGUCUGGAAGAGGCGAGUGGAAUUCCGUGGUGUAGCGGUGAAAUGCGCAGAUAUCAGGAGGAACACCAAUGGCGAAGGCAGCUCGCUGGGACGGUACUGACGCUGAGACGCGAAAGCGUGGGGAGCAAACAGG